CUUGUGACAUGAAAAAUCAAAAAAAAACUACAGUACCCUGUUGACUCCAUUAUCACUUAGAGUUUCAGUUACAGGGGCAGCUGAGGAUUGGAUAAAGUCAUGUUUGUUAGUUCAAGAAAUUCUUAUUCACACUAUAAUUUUCCAUCAAAAAAUGAACCUAAUUCAGAGCUCCCUCAGUGCCAAGUACUACAGAGACCAUGCUCCACAAAAUAAUCCAAGGGCCUGCUGGAGAGGACUGGAGGACCGUAGCCCAUGGACGAGAGACGCAGGACUGAGGUAG
rnacentral:lncRNA from 1 species